rnacentral:rRNA from 2 species
CUCAAGGUUGACCUCGGAUCAGGUAGGGAUACCCGCUGAACUUAA